rnacentral:tRNA from 1 species
UCUGAGCUGGUGUAACUUUUCGCACGUAAAACUUUCAAUUUUAAGGAGGGGGCUUCCCGCUUAGAU